GACUUAUUAGCUCAGUUGGUUAGAGCGUUCGGCUAAUAACCUGAAAGUUAUAGGUUUGAUUCUUGUUUGGACCA
rfam:Glycine soja cultivar W05 scaffold528_93, whole genome shotgun sequence.